UACGGAGGGUGCGAGCGUUGUCCGGAAUCACUGGGCGUAAAGGGCGCGUAGGCGGCUCGAUCAGUCGUUGGUGAAAUCCCGGGGCUCAACCCCGGGGCUGCCGGCGAGACUGUCGGGCUUGAGGCCGGUAGAGGCAGAUGGAAUUCCCGGUGUAGCGGUGGAAUGCGUAGAUAUCGGGAAGAACACCAGUGGCGAAGGCGGUCUGCUGGGCCGGUCCUGACGCUGAGGCGCGAAAGCGUGGGGAGCAAACAGG
rnacentral:rRNA from 1 species